rnacentral:ncRNA from 1 species
CUUAUCAUGAUUAAAUUCAUGGCGGAAGGAG